GUUAUCCGGAAUUAUUGGGCGUAAAGAGCUCGUAGGCGGUUUGUCGCGUCUGCCGUGAAAGUCCGGGGCUCAACUCCGGAUCUGCGGUGGGUACGGGCAGACUAGAGUGAUGUAGGGGAGACUGGAAUUCCUGGUGUAGCGGUGAAAUGCGCAGAUAUCAGGAGGAACACCGAUGGCGAAGGCAGGUCUCUGGGCAUUAACUGACGCUGAGGAGCGAAAGCAUGGGGAGCGAACAGG
rnacentral:rRNA from 1 species